AAUGAACGCUGGCGGCAGGCCUAAUACAUGCAAGUCGAGCGAGCGGCGGAGGGGAGAGUAACGUAUGGGGAUCUGCCUGAUGGAGGGGGAUAACUACUGGAAACGGGACGUAAUACGGCAUACCAUCAGAUGAUCCCAUAUGGGAUUAGCUUGUAGGUGAGGUAACGGCUCACCUAGGCGACGACCCCUAGCUGGGCUGAGAGGAUGAUGGGCCACACUGGGACUGGGACACGGCCCAGACUCCUACGGGAGGCAGCAGUGGGGAAUAUUGCACAAUGGGCGCAAGCCUGAUGCAGCCAUGCCGCGUGUGUGAAGAAGGCCUUCGGGUUGUAAAGUACUUUCAUUCGGGAGGCGUUACCGACAGAAGAAGCACCGGCUAACUCCGUGCCAGCAGCCGCGGUAAUAC
rnacentral:rRNA from 1 species